GUAUUACCUCAAAAUUUGAAUUACCCCUGGUGGGGUUCCCGAGCGGCCAAAGGGAGCAGACUGUAAAUCUGCCGUCAUCGACUUCGAAGCUUCGACCAAGGUUCGACUUGAGCGCCAGCGAGAGAGCGUUGCCGCAGGCAACGACCCGAAGGGCGAAGCGCGCAGCGCUGAGUAAUCCUUCCCCCACCACCA
rnacentral:sRNA from 1 species